GAUCGUCAGACCAUUUGGGUAUUAUUACAGGAACAUGCAGGGGUUUCCUAUAUACUGUAGUUACUAUCUUGUUUUCUACACACCCUACUUUAAAUUUAAAGGCAUAUACUACAAACAAACCAAAGGAGUCCUGAUAUGGCAGCCCCAUGGCAGGUCCCCUAGCUGAAAUUGUACUUAGGGAAGUUGAGAAACCUGUCCUUAUUAUGCUACAACCUACACUAAAAUUUUUCAUUGGGUAUAUCGAUGACAUCAUCGUAGUAUGGAAGGAUGAAGCUGACAUGAAUCAACUCAUAGAAGCCCUAAUACUAAACAGUAUAUGGCUUCAAGCUAAAGGGAGACCAAGUCAGCAAGCAAGAAGUACAUUAUUUUGACAUACAUAUAAGGUGUGUAGAAAACAGGAUGGUGACUACAGUGUGUAGGAGGCCCUUGUGUGUUCCUGUAGUAGUACC
rnacentral:lncRNA from 1 species